rnacentral:rRNA from 1 species
UACGUAGGUGGCGAGCGUUGUCCGGAUUUACUGGGCGUAAAGAGCGCGCAGGCGGUCGUACAAGUCGCGUGUGAAAGCCCCCGGCUCAACUGGGGAGGGUCACGCGAUACUGUUCGACUCGAAGGCAGGAGAGGGAAGCGGAAUUCCCGGUGUAGUGGUGAAAUGCGUAGAUAUCGGGAGGAACACCAGUGGCGAAGGCGACUUCCUGGCCUGUUCUUGACGCUGAGGCGCGAAAGCUAGGGUAGCAAACGGG